UGGUAUGGGAAAAAUCCUUCCCAUCCCUCACACCUGGCAAUCAGCCUUUCCGUCUGCAGCACGAGAAAGCUGGCAAUUAGAUGCAAGGAGAGGCUGAGGUGGGCAAUGGUGAGCAGCAAACCUUUUGAGGAUAGGGACUCCUGUCAGGAAACUCACUGAAGGAAAACCAGUAAACAGUCCAACAAGGGUGACUUACACUCUGAAGAUGCUUUUCCUCCUUAUAUUUAAUAAGAAGAUCUGGAUAGCCAUCUCAGGUAAUACCUACGGCUGCCCAUAUCUUCAUAAGAUUUUGUGUUUCAAAAUGGUAAAAAGAAAAUAGAUCAAUCUAGGUUAAAAUGAACAUUAAAUCCGAUAAGGAAAGGACAAGGAGCACCUCAGCUAAGAUUAUCGUCCUGAGAUUCAACAAAUCUGUUUCCUGAUGACUGGAGAAGCAUGAAAACUCUUAUUGGAAAUUGCUGACUUCCUCAAAUAUUACAUAUUCACUGGAUUUAGCUUUUAAACAAAGAACCACAAUAUUUUUUACUUAUCUGGCUUCUAUUGCUCAUAACUAAAAGUAAAUAAAUGCAUAAACCAGCAAACAGCGAAAAACUUCCUUCUGCAACAUGAAAAUCCUCUCUGCCAACAAUUUGAUUGUGUCCUAGGGACACACAGAGAUGGAAUUAAAAGGAAAGAUCCUCUA